rnacentral:lncRNA from 1 species
AUAAGUGAAAUCCUCCUUCAAUGAAGAUUUCUGUGUGGUUGCAGGUACCUAAGCCUGAAGUGGGCAAUCACAAUAUAGGUCAAACAUUUCAUAUUAAGAGGUGAAUUCGACAAUGUCAGAAUUGACCAGCAGCCUCAGAUUUUACCCAAACCAGCAAGGUUUGGUAUCAGAGAAGAAAAUUCACUCCAGAUAGUUUGAGUAACAUGAAAUUAUGAUCCUAUGUUCUGGGUUAAAUAGUGUCCUUCCAAAAUUCAUGUCCACCCAGAACCCCAGAACAAUUUACAUUGAUUCAGAAAUAACGUCUUUGAAUAUGUAAUUCGUUAUUUAUAAAAGAUCAUACUGUAUUAGAAUGGGCCUUGGGUUCAGUGACUAGGGUCCUUUAAUGGGAAAAAUAAAAAAAAAAAAAAAAAAAAAAAAGGAGCGGGGAGAAAGGUAUCAGAGCAUUAUAAAAAUCACAUUUCAGAAUCCUAAUGUCCACUUCAAGGUGCAGUCUUCUUGGGUAAACAUGCAGUCUGUUUGCAUUUAAUUCUUCCACACAAGCCCUGCAAGAAAGUUAGCCAAAUUGAUAAUCGAUUCACAUGAUCUUUGCUCGCUCAUUUAUUAAAACACACCAAACAGUUAAUUCCCUUUUCUGUUGGGAGCUCUCACUGGUUUUACAUGGCUUGAAUGUUAAACAGCCACUCAGGGCUCUAGGAAAAUAGCAGAGCCAUUAAAUGGUAACGGUUUCAAACUGUUCAAAACGAGUAUUAGAAAUUAAGGGCCUCAAUGUCCCUUCAAUAAAAUUACUUUGGUGAAUAUUUAUUGAACUGACAGUGGACAGAUAAUAAAGAAGUUCUAGGCUGUAACUCCAGUGCUUUGGAGGCUAAGUAGGGAGGAUCACUUAAGGCCAGGAGUUUGAGACCAGCCUGAGCAAGACAGAAAGAUCCUAUUUCUAAAAACUAAAAACUAAAAAAAAAAAAAAAAAAAAAAAGUUAAAUUAGCCAGACAUGGUAGCUACUUGGGAAGUUAAGAUGGAAGAAUCACUUGAACCCAAGAGCUCAAGGUUACCAUGAGCCAUGAUCACCCACUGUACUCCAGCCUGGGCAACACAGCCUGACCCUGUUUCAAAAAAAAAAAAAAAGUGGAUUGGUCAACUAAAGAUCUUGAAAGAUCUCAAAAAACUCCAAUUUAGAUGACUAAUCCACUUUGUUUUUCCUACUUUUUCUACUUGAAUAAAAGAAGAAAGAGGAGUUUUUGAAUACCCUUCACUUCUCCAGCUAUGGUAUGAGCCCAUAGACAUAUUGGCCAAUACCUUACUAAUACACUAAUUCCCCACCAAGAGCCUCUAUGUCUAGACAGAAAGAUAGAUAUCUAGCUGAUCAUAGAUAGAUAGACAGACAGAUAGACAAACAGACCGACAGAUAGACAGAGAGAGAGAGAGAGAGAGAGAGAGAGAGAGAGAGAGAGAGAGAGAGAUGAUAGCUUUUACAUACAGAUAUAGAUGAUAUGGAUAUAGAUAGAUAGCAUCCUCCUCUUUAGCCUGGUCCAGAGGCUAAUAUCAGGGACACUAAGUAAACUGAGGCACUGGAAGGAAACCGAUAGAUUAUAAGACUCUAUAGGCCAAUCCUUUCUCUUUACCUAUGAGGACUUUGGGCUUCAGUAAUUAUUUUCUGGCCACACUAUGACUCUAACCCAAGUUUUUCAACUCCUAGGGUGAUGCUCCAAUCCUCUUGCCCAUGGAGCUUUUCUAAAAUGCUUGAUUUUCCUACCUCACUGCAGUACAUGUGUUAGACUUUUCCCUGACACUUAAGUUCUUUUAUUUUAUGAUUUUAUUUUUCACUCACUUGUUCAUUGUACAAUCGUUGAUGGAGAUCCUAUUGUAUGCCAUGCAUUGCUGUAAGGCCUUAGGAACGUCAAAGUAAAUUAAUACUUUUAAUUUACUGAUUGAUAGGGAAUAUAGAUAG